rnacentral:rRNA from 1 species
AUUGAACGCUGGCGGCAUGCCUUACACAUGCAAGUCGAACGGUAACGGGCCUUCGGGUGCCGACGAGUGGCGAACGGGUGAGUAAUGCAUCGGAACGUACCUUUCAGUGGGGGAUAACGUAGCGAAAGUUACGCUAAUACCGCAUAUUCUGUGAGCAGGAAAGCAGGGGAUCGCAAGACCUUGCGCUGAUUGAGCGGCCGAGGUCAGAUUAGCUAGUUGGUGAGGUAAAGGCUCACCAAGGCGACGAUCUGUAGCGGGUCUGAGAGGAUGAUCCGCCACACUGGGACUGAGACACGGCCCAGACUCCUACGGGAGGCAGCAGUGGGGAAUUUUGGACAAUGGGGGCAACCCUGUUCCAGCCAUGCCGCGUGAGUGAAGAAGGCCUUCGGGUUGUAAAGCUCUUUCGGCCGGGAAGAAAUCGCACAGGCUAAUACCUUGUGUGGAUGACGGUACCGGAAUAAGAAGCACCGGCUAACUACGUGCCAGCCGCCGCGGUAACAC